rnacentral:rRNA from 1 species
GCGGUGGAGCAUGUGGUUUAAUUCGAUAGCAACGSGRARGACCUUACCAGGUCUUGACAUCCUCUGACACUCCUAGAGAUAGGAYKUUCCCCUUCGGGRGACAGAGUGACAGGUGGUGCAUGGUUGUCGUCAGCUCGUGUCGUGAGAUGUUGGGUUAAGUCCCGCAACGAGCGCAACCCUUGAUCUUAGUUGCCAGCAUUCAGUUGGGCACUCUAAGGUGACUGCCGGUGACAAACCGGAGGAAGGUGGGGAUGACGUCAAAUCAUCMUGCCCCUUAUGACCUGGGCUACACACGUGCUACAAUGGAUGGUACAAAGGGCUGCAAAACCGCGAGGUUAAGCCAAUCCCAUAAAACCAUUCUCAGUUCGGAUUGCAGGCUGCAACUCGCCUGCAUGAAGCCGGAAUCGCUAGUAAUCGCGGAUCAGCAUGCCGCGGUGAAUACGUUCCCGGGCCUUGUACACACCGCCCGUCACACCACGAGAGUUUGUAACACCCGAAGUCGGUGGGGUAACCGUAAGGAGCCAGCCGCCUAAGGGGGACAGAGAUGGGU